rnacentral:rRNA from 1 species
UCAAGACUAAGCCAUGCAUGUCUAAGUAUAAACGCUUCUAUACUGUGAAACUGCGAAUGGCUCAUUAAAUCAGUUAUAGUUUAUUUGAUGGUUUCUUACUACUUGGAUAACCGUGGUAAUUCUAGAGCUAAUACAUGCACAAAGUCCCGACUGUUCGGAAGGGAUGUAUUUAUUAGAUCCAAAACCAAUGCGAGUCUUUCGGGGCUCGGUUUCUUGGUGAUUCAUGAUAACUGCUCGAACCGUAUGGCCUUUGCGCCGACGGUGCUUCAUUCAAAUUUCUGCCCUAUCAACUUUCGAUGGUACGGUAGUGGCCUACCAUGGUUGCAACGGGUGACGGAGAAUUAGGGUUCGAUUCCGGAGAGGGAGCCUGAGAAACGGCUACCACAUCCAAGGAAGGCAGCAGGCGCGCAAAUUACCCAAUCCCGACUCGGGGAGGUAGUGACAAUAAAUAACAAUGCCGGGCUAUUGUAGUCUGGCAAUUGGAAUGAGUACAAUCUAAAUCCCUUAACGAGGAACAAUUGGAGGGCAAGUCUGGUGCCAGCAGCCGCGGUAAUUCCAGCUCCAAUAGCGUAUAUUAAAGUUGUUGCAGUUAAAAAGCUCGUAGUUGGAUUUCGGGGUGGCCUGGCUGGUCCACCGCAAGGUGAGUACUGGUCAGCCGCCCUUCCUCUCGAAAGCCCCGACUGCUCUUCAUUGUAGUGGUCGGGUAGUUCGGGACGUUUACUUUGAAAAAAUUAGAGUGUUCAAGGCAGGCUAUCGCCUGAAUACAUUAGCAUGGAAUAAUGGAAGAGGACCUCGGUCCUAUUUUGUUGGUUUCUAGGGCCGAAGUAAUGAUUAAGAGGGACAGUUGGGGGCAUUCGUAUUUAAUUGUCAGAGGUGAAAUUCUUGGAUUUAUGAAAGACGAACUAGUGCGAAAGCAUUUGCCAAGGAUGUUUUCAUUAAUCAAGAACGAAAGUUAGGGGUUCGA